GAUGAACGCUGGCGGCGUGCCUAAUACAUGCAAGUCGAGCGAACAGACGAGGAGCUUGCUCCUCUGACGUUAGCGGCGGACGGGUGAGUAACACGUGGAUAACCUACCUAUAAGACUGGGAUAACUUCGGGAAACCGGAGCUAAUCCCGGAUAAUAUAUUGAACCGCAGGGUUCAAUAGUGAAAAACGGUUUUGCUGUCACUAAUAGAUGAAUCCGCGCCGCAUUAGCUAGUUGGUAAGGUAACGGCUUACCAAGGCAACGAUGCGUAGCCGACCUGAGAGGGUGAUCGGCCACACUGGAACUGAGACACGGUCCAGACUCCUACGGGAGGCAGCAGUAGGGAAUCUUCCGCAAUGGGCGAAAGCCUGACGGAGCAACGCCGCGUGAGUGAUGAAGGUCUUCGGAUCGUAAAACUCUGUUAUUAGGGAAGAACAAAUGUGUAAGUAACUAUGCACGUCUUGACGGUACCUAAUCAGAAAGCCACGGCUAACUACGUG
rnacentral:rRNA from 1 species